rnacentral:misc_RNA from 1 species
CAGGGCGUGUGCCCCUCCCACCUGCCUGCCUGCCUGCCUGCCUGCCUGCCUCCCGGCAACUCGGACUUGGUGGGUGGCGUUUGCGGGAGCCACCUGCCAGCGCCCACGUGGGUGCUUCGUCUCAGCAUUGUGUAGGGCACAUGAGCAUGCGGCCAUGUUCAGCUACAACAACAUCAUAGAGAAGGGGGAACCCCUCAACAAGGAGAUCAUUGACCAUGUAUUUGACCAUGUGACCGAGUUCCCGACGCCGGCGAUGGUGCCCGUAGGCGACGGCAAGGCCGACUGCAUUGUGCUCGAAAACUUUUUGACGCACGAAGAGUGCGACCAACUCGUGGCGGCCUGCGAGAAGGUGGGCUACACUUUCUGGCUCCAGAAAAACCACCACGACGCCGACGGAGAAGCCACGUGCGACAGCGCCUCUAAAGCGGUGCGCGUCGUGGACACCAUCGAGGCGAACUUUCCGCACCUCUCGGCGAAGCUGUACGAGCGCAUUGCCCGUGUCGUCUCUCUCAAGCCGAAGUUUUUUUCGGAAGAUAUGCCUAACGCCGAAGAGUUUUUCGAGCGUGAGCUCGCCGGCACGUGGGUGCCCCACGCCCUCUCCGAAAAUCUUCUGUUCGGCCGCUACCACCCCGGUGGCCACUUUAUGCCCCACGUGGACGGUUCCACCAUUUUGGACCUCAAUACCCGCUCCUUCUACACGCUGCUCAUCUACCUCAAUGACUGCUUGCAUGGCGGAGAGACCUUUAUCUUUGCGGGUGAGCAGUGCAACGUCCUGUACCUGGACGAGAAGGAGAACCAGUACCGCGGCAACGCAACGCAACGGGUGGGAGCCGUCUACCCCAAGAAGGGCUCAGCCGCAUUCUUCUACUACAACCUGCUACACGAAGGGGCGCCGGUGCUGCAGGGGCACAAAUACAUCUGCCGCGCAGACCUGCUCUACCACCGUACACCCGCCAUUUUCACUUCCGAGGCAGAUGUGAAGGCGUUUAAUGCGUACCAGGAGGCGCGCCUCGCCGAAAGUCACGGAGAUGCCGAGCGGGCGUGCCAGCUAUUCCAGCGUGUUCGCAAGCUCUCCAAGGGUGUCGCAUCCAUUUUCCAGAUCGAGUAAAUGCGCGCAGCAAAAAAAAAGAAAGAGAAAGCGUCAACAUGACUUUGCUCCCUCCAGCAUUUGUAAACUCCAGGUACUUGUGCUUGUGGCCAAAGUAGCGGGUGCUGCUUCUCCACCUUCUGAACCCGACAGCAGCCAUGAUCCACCUUGUUCUGUUGGUGGACGUAUUCUCGCCGAUCUUGGCACACUGCGCAGCGUAGCGUCCUCCCCUCCCCCUUCUGACGGACGCUGCAAAUAAAGUAAGGCUGGCUGGUUGGCGUAUCCACGCAAACCAGGAGGAGAGGCGACACCGCAUCCUAAACGAGUUUUCUGUUUCCAC